rnacentral:piRNA from 1 species
CCAUGAUCCUCGCUGAACGACAGA